CUCCAUAAACUACUAGGAUAUUUGAAAAUUUGCGAUCUAUGGAUAGCGUCGCGUCGUUUGGAAUUGUUUCAGUUAACGCGAAGCAGUGUAUAGUGUUGUGUUUCCAUCAUUGAAAGAAUUUCCUGUGCAAUUCUAACGAAAUAUAGUUUCAGGGUUCGAGGUGACCUCGAGGUCGAAGAAAAGAAAUGAUUGAAGGGUCUUAGGUAAACAGUCUUGUCCGUUUUACGGCUGGGCUGCUAAGGGAUCUCCCGGAAAUCAUUUCCAACUUUAGCCAUCGUUGGACCAAGAGCGGAAAAUCAAGAAUAAAACGUCAAUGUGAGUGGAUUGGAUUCGAUAUUUUCUCGUGUUUUCAUCAUUUUCUCCCGAUUUUAUUGCGGUUCCAGCAAAAUUAAUUCGCAGAACAUGAAAUUUUAUUUUAGGAUUUUUCUAUGGUACGUAACCAAAGAGUAAAGUUGAUACUCUUUGCGUAACGUUGUUCUGUGGACGGAAUGAGUAGAUUUCUAUACAUUUCGCCAUAGAUUAGAGUUACUUUUGUGUUCUGUGGUCUCCACUCUCUACUUUCCAUACCAUAGAAAAAUAGUCUCUGACAUAGAUUAACCAGAGUAACUCUUACUGUUACCGUUUGGAUUAACCCAGAGGCAAUUGUCUCUGGUUAUUUGUGUUCUGUGAUGUUUAAUUACUCUAUGAUCUUAACAGUUGGAUAUUGGAUCAAAAUUGUCCAACAAUUUUUUGCACUUUUUUUUACAAUUUUUGGCGGAUUUAGUUGGAAUAAUCACAAACUUGACUAAUAAAUUUUAUUUAUAAAGAUCGAAAAAUUCAUGACUCGUAAAUGCGGAAGUCAAAAGAAACUUUUCAGUUACAACUGGAAAAAAGUAUAAAAAAUUAAUACAUUUCUAUUUAUAAAUCACAUCAAUUUCAACUCAUAAUUCGAAACGAUUACAUCUUGAGUCCUAUCUGAAGUUCUUGGCACCAAAUGCUCGCGAAAUAUUGAAAGCAUGGAAAUACUUUUAUCCUAUAGCUAAAAGAAGUCGUGAAGGGUGAAAAAUUGAAAUACAUUAGUG